ensembl:lncRNA
GGUGAGUAAGAGACAGAGAGAGGUAGAGAGAUUUCCUUCCUUGGUGCGGUCCUAUCUGUUCCAUCUAGUAUCUGGUGCACACCAUCAGUAUACACUAUGAACGUGUGCCAUCAGAAAUGGGCAGUGUGGCCGCUGUGGUGGCUCUCGCUGUCGAAGCUCAUAGGCGAGGUUUAAAUCAGUUGUGGUUGUUUUUUCGUACAAAAACUCAUCCGACUAGCAGAGAUACAUUAUGGUGGGUUGCAGAACAACAGAUUGUGUGUCUGCAUACCAGGGACUGUGGUGGGAAGUGGCUGAACUACAGCCCAUUAAAAACUCAACAGUCGCUGAUGUUCCUCUUUAGUAUUUACAAUCCAGAGACAGGUCCUUAUGCAUGUAGGGGUUACACUGUGAAUACAGAUACAGGUCAUGUAGGGGGUUAGACAGUGAAUACAGAGACAGGUCAUUAAGGAGCAUGUAGGGGUUAGACAGUGAAUACAGAGACAGGACAUUAAGGAGCAGGUAGGGGUUAGACAGUGAAUACAGAGACAGGUCAUUAAGGAGCAGGUAGGGGUUAGACAGUGAAUACAGAGACAGGUCAUUAAGGAGCAGGUAGGGGUUAGACAGUGAAUACAGAGACAGGACAUUAAGGAGCAGGUAGGGGUUAGACAGUGAAUACAGAGACAGGUCAUUAAGGAGCAGGUAGGGGUUAGGGGUCAUCUUACAGGUUUGGCUGCGGACAUUGUGGGUUCGAACCCAAUCCUUUUGGUUAGUAGUGGAACACCCUAACCGCGACACUAUCCCGCCUCUACGCCCCCAAUGGGUUUGAAUCCCCGUUGUCCACAGUCUAACCUGCAGGCAUCCUUGAGCAAGACACCCAAACUCUAAGGAA